AUGAGGAUAGAAAUCUCUGCAGGCAAAACAAAACAACAGUGCUUAGGCGAUGGAGGAAAUCGUUCUAGGUUUCGGCGGCCGCCUAGGCGGGCUCGGCAGUGGGCGUCGAUUUAUAAUAUUUUCAACCCAGACAUAUUUCUUCUCUCUCGCCAUCUGUCUCUCCUCCAAUCUGUCCUUAGGUCGGUGAAGACUCGGAAGGAACUGGUUUGCACUUCAUCUUCUGAAAGGAGCUGGAGUUCGAUGGAGAGCGAGACUUGAAAGGAUAUGGACAUGGAUAUUAGGGAAAUGGUUUGCACCUCAUCUUCUUAAAUUUCCAGAGUUCUUCCAGUCUUCAUCUAGUCUAUAGUACUGUUCUAGUCCUCUAGUUUAUGAUAAGUGUUUUGGUAUUUCUAAUAGUCAUCAAGAGUUCUUUUUGAAGCCUACAGUGAGGCUGUUUCUCAAAACAAUGAACCUUGGUCUCUUAUCGGAGAUUUCAGUAAUAUUUGCGAACUGAGGAGAAAAUUUGGGGAUUAACAGAGUCUAUGAGUUGUCUUUCUUUAAUAAGGUUAGAGUAUCUGGUAUCCCUGAGUAUCUCCUAUUUUUUGGCUGUGAUUGUAGACAUCUUGGAGAUGACUUAGGUAAUUCAUAAAAGUUCUGCAGUGGGAAUUAAAUGUCGUUGAGAAGGAUAAGGAUGCAUUAGUUGAGGACUUUUCUAAGGACGACUACAAUGACAUGGUGGAUGGAAGGCAAAGCUGGUUAGGACCAACUCUGGAGAGCAUAAGUGGGGGGGCCUCUUCACUGCCAAGAAUAAAUGGUUGUGAUACCUCAAGUUUUGCAUAUGCUGCAAUAUUGUACUCGAGUUAGAUAUGCAUUUUAGAUAAACAUUGUAUUAAGUUGCUAGUGUGUUGUGCUUUAGAAGGUCUUAUCUUAAACUAUGACGCUAUCCUAUUAGUGUUUGAACUUUUUCCGUCUAUAAUAAUGGAAUUGGGGUUUGUCUUUGCUCA